UUCACCACCUCACUGAUGCAGGCCUGCUUU
rnacentral:piRNA from 1 species